UACGUAGGGUGCGAGCGUUGUCCGGAAUUAUUGGGCGUAAAGGGCGCGUAGGCGGCCGAUCAAGUCGGGGGUGAAAGCCUGUGGCUCAACCACAGAAUUGCCUUCGAUACUGUUUGGCUUGAGACCGGAAGAGGUUAGUGGAACUGCGAGUGUAGAGGUGAAAUUCGUAGAUAUUCGCAAGAACACCAGUGGCGAAGGCGGCUGACUGGUCCGGUUCUGACGCUGAGGCGCGAAAGCGUGGGGAGCAAACAGG
rnacentral:rRNA from 1 species